UCUUAUAUUCUGUCCUAAGUAAUGUCAAACUAAAUGCAAUCCUAACAUUCGUUUUUUUCACUCAAAAGAUCAAACUUACAGCAAGCACAUUAGCCAUGGAAGAACACAAAUACAAAGCAGUCAGACAAAAGCCAGAAUAUGUGUACUUGAAUCAAUUAAAUGCAGCAAGCAAAGCUUAUAUAGUAAGAGUGGUUGUUGCUGAGAAGGGAAGGGACAUACUAUCUUCCAAAAAAA